rnacentral:lncRNA from 1 species
AGAGCUGCCUUUCAAACUGAUGAUUGGAGUGGACAGAUGAGUGGAGGCCCUACAAGAUCUCACACUACAGACAGAAAAGGAUCGAACAGACCAACAGAACAUGCCAAGACAUUUCAGCAAAUGCCGCUCUUCUGUAUGAUGAGUUAACGGGAGAAGAUCGGUGUUAAUCAGUGUCCAGCUAUGCUUAACUGUGCAGAUCAGAUCAGAGAACUCGCAGCGUUCUCUCCCACUCUGACUGCCAGCACUAAGCGACACGAUGGCAUCGCAUGUUUGUCAAAAUCACGCCGUACUCGAGCUGGCAGGAAUCGCACGACAACCACAAACGGCAGCUGCAGAUAGAACUCUUCCAUCCACCUGCUGUUCUCCUACUGCCAAGACGCUACUCUUUUGUCUGCUGUAUUUAGAACCUAUCGGACCGUGUUUGCAGAACCAGGCUACCGGCAGCAGUUAUUUUCAUCAGCAAACUUCUUUGCUGUGAACCUCCCAUCUGUCGUCCUCCAUCUCAACCCUCCAUAUUCUACUCGGA